GCUUAUCACCAUUCCAGAUUGAAUAUACCCGAUCUCGUCUGAUCUCGGAAGUCAAGCAAUCUCGGGCUUGGUUAGUACUAGGAUGGGUGACCGCUUGGGAAUACCAAG
rnacentral:rRNA from 1 species